UACGGAGGGUGCAAGCGUUAUUCGGAUUUACUGGGCGUAAAGGGCGCGUAGGCGGUUUAGCAAGUCAGAUGUGAAAUCCCGGGGCUUAACUUCGGAAGUGCAUCUGAUACUGUUUGGCUUGAGUAUGGUAGAGGGAAGUGGAAUUCCUGGUGUAGCGGUGAAAUGCGUAGAUAUCAGGAGGAACACCGGUGGCGAAGGCGACUUCCUGGACCAAAACUGACGCUGAGGCGCGAAGGUGUGGGGAG
rnacentral:rRNA from 1 species